rnacentral:rRNA from 1 species
AUGUCCGGUGCCGGCCUCGCGGGCACGCUCGACGCGCUGGACCUCUCGUCGCUGCCCAGCCUCGGCCGCCUCAACCUCAGCUUCAACUCGCUGAUGGGAUCGUUCCCGUCGAACGUGUCCGUGCCGCUCCUCGGCCUCAGGUCUGUAGAUUUGUCCAACAACAGCUUCUCGGGUUCGAUCCCGGCGAUGCUGCCGGUGUACAUGCCCAACCUCGAGCACCUCAACCUUUCGUCAAACCAGCUUGUGGGGGAGAUACCGACGUCCCUCGCCAAGUUGACCAAGCUUCAGAGCCUUAUUCUCGGCUCCAACAGGCUUUCCGGAGGCAUACCACCGGUGCUCGGUUCCAUCUCAGGGUUAACAGCGCUCGAGCUGCACAGUAACCCGCUGGGCGGCGCCAUCCCCGCCUCUCUCGGCAACCUCGGUUCGCUGGAGCGCAUGAAUGUCAGCCUCGCUCUGCUGUACUCAACCAUUCCCACGGAACUCAGCGGCUGCGCCAACCUUACCGUCGUUGGCCUCGCCGGGAACAAGCUCUCUGGGAAGCUGCCGGUGUCGUUGGCCAAGCUGACCAAAAUACGGGAGUUCAACGUGUCCAAGAACAUGCUCACCGGGACGAUCUUGCCGGACUACUUCACUGCCUGGGCCCAGCUCACGGUGUUUCAGGCUGACAGAAACCGUUUCAACGGCGAGAUCCCCACGGAGAUCAGGAUGGCGUUGAGGCUGGAGUUCCUCUCCCUGGCGACCAACAACCUCUCCGGCCCGAUCCCGUCGGUCAUCGGAAGGCUGACAGACCUGAAGCUGCUGGACCUCUCCGAGAACAAACUCUCCGGCACUAUCCCACGGACAAUGGGCGAGCUCACCAGCCUAGAGGUUCUUCGGCUGUAUGACAACAAGCUCACCGGCCGGUUGCCGGCCGAGUUCGGGGACAUGACGGCGCUGCAGAGGCUGUCCAUAAGCACCAACAUGCUCGAGGGCGAGUUUCCGGCCGAGCUCGCCCGCUUGCCAAACCUCCGUGGCCUGAUCGCCUUCGAAAACCUCUUCUCCGGCGCCAUCCCGCCAGGUCUUGGCGGGAACGGCUUGUUCUCCAUGGUCAGCAUGUCAGACAACAGGUUCUCCGGUGGGCUGCCUCCGGGGCUGUGCAAGAGCGCGCCCCGCCUCCGGUUUCUCGCCUUGGACAACAACCACCUAACCGGCGACGUGCCCGCCUGCUACAGCAACUUUAAGAAGCUCGAGCGCUUCCGCGUGGCAGGCAACCGGCUGGCCGGAAAUUUGUCAGAGAUCCUCGGAUCGCAGCUGCCGGACCUGUACUACAUUGACCUGUCCAGGAACCUGUUUGAAGGCGAGCUCCCAGAGCACUGGGCUCAGUUCAGGAGCCUCUCAUACCUGCACUUGGAUGGCAACAAAAUCAGCGGAACAAUUGCUCCUGGUUACGGUGCCAUGGCUGCAUUGCGAGAUCUGAGCCUGGCAUCCAACCGUCUCACCGGCACGAUCCCGCCCGAGCUCGGAAAAUUAGCACUGCUCAAGCUAAAUCUUGGUCACAACAUGUUGUCUGGCAGAAUCCCUGUGACACUAGGAAACGUCGCCACGAUGCUCCUGCUGGACCUGUCCGAGAAUGAUCUUCACGGAGGCGUACCGGCGGAGCUGACAAUGUUAAGCUCCAUUUGGUACCUGAACCUGAGCGGCAACAGUCUCACCGGCGAGGUUCCAGCUCUGGUCGGUAAGAUGAGCUCGCUGGAGAAGUUGGACCUCAGUGGCAACCCGGGUCUAUGCGGCGACGUGGCUGGCCUGAAUUCCUGCAACUUGAAUUCUGACAGCGGUGGUUCUCGGCGGCACAAGGCAAGGCUGAACCUUGUCAUACCGCUGGCUGUUGCCGCUGCGCUGCUGGCCUCCGUCGCUGCCGUGGCAUGCGUGGUGGUGCACAGGAAGAGACGAACCGGCGAAGAUACGCCCGAGACCAACACAACGGUGAGAGACGGCAGCGUAAUGGCUCUGCAGGCUUCGAUAUGGGGCAAAGAUGUGGAGAUCUCCUUCGGUGACAUCCUGGCAGCGACGGAGCAGUUCGACGAGGCCUACUGCAUAGGCAAAGGCAGCUUCGGGAGCGUGUACCAGGCCGACCUUCCAGGCGGCCACUGCCUUGCCGUGAAGAAGCUCGAUGCGUCGGAGACUGACGACGCGUUUAGGGGCAUCAGUGAGAAGAGCUUUGAGAACGAGGUGAGGGCCCUGACGCACGUCCGGCAUAGGAACAUCGUCAAGCUCCACGGGUUCUGCGCCUCCAGCAGGUACAUGUACCUGGUCUAUGAGCGCGUCGAGAGGGGCAGCCUCACCAAGGUGCUCUACGGAGGCAGCUGCGAAAGGUUCGACUGGCCGGCAAGGGUGCGCGCAAUCAGGGGACUGGCGCACGCGCUGGCCUACCUGCACCACGACUGCUCGCCGCCGAUGAUCCACCGCGACGUGUCCAUCAACAACGUCCUGCUGGACGCCGAGUACGAGACGCGGCUGUCGGACUUCGGCACGGCGAGAUUUCUCGCGCCCGGGCGCUCCAACUGCACCAGCAUGGCUGGCUCCUACGGCUACAUGGCACCAGAGCUCGCGUACUUGAGGGUGACGACCAAAUGCGACGUGUACAGCUUCGGCGUCGUGGCCAUGGAGAUCCUGACGGGCAAGUUCCCCGGCGAGCUCAUAAGCUCCUUGUACAGCUUGGACGAGGCGCGUGGUAUGGGCGAGUCGGCGCUCCUGCUGCUCAAGGACGUGGUGGACCAGAGGCUGGACCUUCCUGCCGGGAAAUUGGCCGGGCAGCUGGUCUUCCUCUUUGUUGUGGCCUUGUCGUGCGUUCGGACGAACCCUGAUGCCAGGCCGACCAUGCGCACCGUCGCACAGGAGCUCUCUGCUCAACGGCGGUCUACCUUGGAUAGGCCAUUCGCUGCCAUCAGCAUUGGCGACCUUACAAUUCUGCAGAAAUGA